rnacentral:rRNA from 1 species
GUGGGGAAUAUUGCGCAAUGGGGGAAACCCUGACGCAGCAACGCCGCGUGAGUGAUGAAGGCUUUCGAGUCGUAAAACUCUGUCUUUGGGGACGAAUAAUGACGGUACCCAAGGAGGAAGCCCCGGCUAACUACGUACCAGCAGCCGCGGUAAUACGUAGGGGGCGAGCGUUGUCCGGAAUCACUGGGCGUAAAGGGCGCGUAGGCGGUUUGUUAAGUCAGGUGUGAAAGUUUUCAGCUUAACUGGAAAAGUGCACUUGAAACUAACUUACUUGAGUACUGGAGAGGUAAGCGGAAUUCCUAGUGUAGCGGUGAAAUGCGUAGAUAUUAGGAAGAACACCGGUGGCGAAGGCGGCUUACUGGACAGAGACUGACGCUGAGGCGCGAAAGCGUGGGGAGCGAACAGGAUUAGAUACCCCAGUAGUCC